rnacentral:rRNA from 1 species
CCUACGGGAGGCAGCAGUGGGGAAUAUUGCGCAAUGAGCGAAAGCCUGACGCAGCGACGCCGCGUGAGGGAUGACGGUCUUCGGAUCGUAAACCUCUGUCAGCAGGGAAGAACGGUCACUGUGCUAAUCAGCAGUGAAUUGACGGUACCUGCAAAGGACGCACCGGCUAACUCCGUGCCAGCGGCCGCGGUAAUACGGAGGGUGCGAGCGUUAAUCGGAAGUACUGGGCGUAAAGCGCUCGUAGGCGGUAUGUCAAGUCAAGGGUGAAAUCCCCGCGCUCAACGUGGGAAGUGCCUUUGAAACUGGCAAACUGGAGUGUGUGAGAGGAUAGUGGAAGUCCAGGUGUAGGAGUGAAAUCCGUAGAUAUCUGGAGGAACAUCAGUGGCGAAGGCGACUAUCUGGCACAUAACUGACGCUGAGGAGCGAAAGCGUGGGUAGCAAACAGGAUUAGAUACCCUGGUAGUC